AGUUUAGGAACGUAUUCUUCUACAGAUACUGAGGAUGGAGAAGUGAAAAAGCAGAUAUCCAUGUUAAAUUCGGCCCUGGAGCCUGCGAGGAGCUUGGGCUCACACCCAGAGGGAAUUUAAACCUCAGCGCGGCAGGACAGAGGAAGCUCGGAGGCCAUAACUAGGGGAUGAGGCAGUGUUCGGGCACCCGGAGGCGAGGCCGACUAAGUUCGCGGGGCGUGGCGGAGAGGAGAAGGGCUCCGAGGAGGCGCGAAGUCCCGGCCGGCUCCCCAGGCAAGCCAGAUCGCGCUCCUGCCUCAGAUGUCCGUAGACCUGAGAGAUUUGGAGAUCUAAGAAAGCUGGAAGAUGAAAGGAUCUUUCCUAGGCAAUUGGCUACAGAAAUAAAGGGGACAAAGAUAAAACUAAUCUGAUGAAAACAGUCUGGACCAGAGGAAGGAUCUCAAUAAAUAACUUAUUUAGUCAACAGUCGUUGAUGGAUGCUAAAAGUAUUAGAUAAUUUAUGGGAGAAUUUUACACUGAAGGAUGUACACUGAAGAUAACCUACAUGUACUAAUCAAUCUUAGAUCACGAAACAUGGGACAGCUGAGCAUUGUUUCUUGAUGUGAUGCAAUUGAACAGAAAUAUUUAUGAAGUAUAGCGUAUUUUUGUAAAAAAAAAAGUUGAGUGACUCUAAUCAAGUUUUGGCUGUAAUUUCCAGUUAACAAGAAAUAAAGAGAAACAACUGUAUAACACUACAAGAAAGCAAUCAAA